rnacentral:rRNA from 1 species
UACAGAGGGGGCAAGCGUUAUUCGGAAUUAUUGGGCGUAAAGGGCGCGUAGGCGGCCAUUCAAGUGACGGGUGAAAGCCCUCGGCUUAACCGAGGAACUGCCUGUCAGACUGGAUGGCUUGAGACCGGGAGAGGUGAGUGGAAUUCCUGGUGUAGCGGUGGAAUGCGCAGAUAUCAGGAAGAACACCCGUGGCGAAGGCGGCUCACUGGACCGGAACUGACGCUGAGGCGCGAAAGCGUGGGGAGCAAACAGG